UACGUAGGGUGCAAGCGUUAUUCGGAAUUACUGGGCGUAAAGCGUGCGCAGGCGGCUUUGUAAGUCAGAUGUGAAAUCCCCGGGCUCAACCUGGGAACUGCAUUUGUGACUGCAUGGCUGGAGUGCGGCAGAGGUGGAUGGAAUUCCGCGUGUAGCAGUGAAAUGCGUAGAUAUGCGGAGGAACACCGAUGGCGAAGGCAAUCCCCUGGGCCUGCACUGACGCUCAGGCACGAAAGCGUGGGGAGCAAACAGG
rnacentral:rRNA from 1 species